AAAGAACUAUUGUUAGUCCGUUGGGAAUUGUUUGCAGGAUUCUGUUGCAAAGACCCAGUAGCAACCUGCUGCAACGAGCUCAGUGAAUUACCUUGUCCUGAUUCCAAACUAGAAGCAGGCUGCAUCGGGAUCGUCAUGUUUUGUUGUGCUGCUGAUCCUGAAAAGGUUGGAAGAGAAUUAUGUUGCAUAUUGUUCAUAUUGUUCGGCUGCACCGGAGCUGCA
rnacentral:misc_RNA from 1 species